rnacentral:RNase_MRP_RNA from 18 species
AGGCAUGUCCGAAGAAUCGUCACAAUCGAAGCUUACCAAGGCCGGCAGCUAGCUGCCGGUCCGCCAUGCUUUGGGGAAAGUCUCCGACCAGGCUGUAUGCGGAAACGCAGCGAGAUUUAAAAACUUAUUUUUACAUCCACUCGCUAGGGCUGCCUGGCAGCCCUUUCUCCUGGGGCGCAAGCUCCAGUGACUUUCGGUAGCGGGGCCCUGUGGGCGCCGAGCGAUAGUUAUGACGAUUGCGCACCGCGUAACGCAAUGGAGCUUAUUCUCGGGCCAUGCC